rnacentral:misc_RNA from 1 species
GUGAAUCAUCGAAUUUUUGAACGCAAAUUGCACUCUUUGGUAUUCCGGAGAGUAUGCAUGUUUGAGGGUCAGUUUAAAUAAACAUAGGUGUGGUUGCUGCCUUUCGCGGUGACGCACCGGAUGUGGGCCGUCUUGUCUUCGGUUAAGUGACCUAAAAUUUUGCGUGGUUUUUUUCGAACGUAUUUAAAUGUUUUUAGGUACGUUUGUGUGAUCGAAUAAUUGGUGUGGUCAUCCUCAUGAUUCG